rnacentral:rRNA from 1 species
UACGUAGGGUGCAAGCGUUACUCGGAAUUACUGGGCGUAAAGCGUGCGCAGGCGGUUUUGUAAGUCCGAUGUGAAAUCCCCGGGCUUAACCUGGGAACUGCAUUGGUGACUGCAAGGCUUGAGUGUGUCAGAGGGAGGUGGAAUUCCGCGUGUAGCAGUGAAAUGCGUAGAUAUGCGGAGGAACACCGAUGGCGAAGGCAGCCUCCUGGGAUAACACUGACGCUCAUGCACGAAAGCGUGGGGAGCAAACAGG